GGCUGUGGAUCAGCGGCAGAGCACUCGCCUAUCACGUGCAAGGCCCUGGGUUCAAUCCUCAGCACCA
rnacentral:tRNA from 1 species